UUACACAUGCAGUCGAGCGGUAGAGAGCAUCUUGAUUCGAUUGAGAGCGGCGGACGGGUGAGUAAAGCGAAAGAAUCUGCCUAGUAGUGGGGGAUAACGUUCGGAAACGGACGCUAAUACCGCAUACGUCCUACGGGAGAAAGCAGGGGACCUUCGGACCUCGCGCUAUCAGAUGAGCCUAGGUCGGAUUAUCUAGUUGGUGAGGUAAUGGCUCACCAAGGCGACGAUCCGUAACUGGUCUGAGAGGAUGAUCAGUCACACUGGAACUGAGACACGGUCCAGACUCCUACGGGAGGCAGCAGUGGGGAAUAUUGGACAAUGGGCGAAAGCCUGAUCCAGCCAUGCCGCGUGUGUGAAGAAGGUCUUCGGAUUGUAAAGCACUUUAAGUUGGGAGGAAGGGCAGUUACCUAAUACGUGAUUGUUUUGACGUUACCGACAGAAUAAGCACCGGCUAACUCUGUGCCAGCAGCCGCGGUAAUACAGAGGGUGCAAGCGUUAAUCGGAAUUACUGGGCGUAAAGCGCGCGUAGGUGGUUAGUUAAGUUGGAUGUGAAAUCCCCGGGCUCAACCUGGGAACUGCAUUCAAAACUGGCAAGCUAGAGUAUGGUAGAGGGUGGUGGAAUUUCCUGUGUAGCGGUGAAAUGCGUAGAUAUAGGAAGGAACACCAGUGGCGAAUGCGACCACCUGAACUGAUACUGACACUGAGGUGCGGAAGCGUGAAGAGCAAACAGGAUUAUGAUACCCUGGUAGUCCACGCCGUAAACGAUGUCAACUAGCCGUUGGGAGCCUUGAGCUCUUAGUGGCGCAGCUAACGCAUUAGGUUGACCGCCUGGGGAGUACGGCCGCAAGGUUAAAACUCAAAUGAAUUGACAGGGGCCCGCACAAGCGGUGGAGCAUGUGGUUUAAUUCGAAGCAACGCGAAGAACCCUUACCAGGCCUGUGACAUCCAAUGAACUUUCUAGA
rnacentral:rRNA from 1 species